UACGUAGGGAGCAAGCGUUGUCCGGAAUCAUUGGGCGUAAAGCGCGCGUAGGCGGCUUGUUGCGUCGACUGUGAAAACCCGCGGCUUAACCGCGGGCUUGCAGUUGAUACGGGCAGGCUAGAGUUCGGUAGGGGAGACUGGAAUUCCUGGUGUAGCGGUGAAAUGCGCAGAUAUCAGGAGGAACACCGGUGGCGAAGGCGGGUCUCUGGGCCGAUACUGACGCUGAGGAGCGAAAGCUUGGGGAGCGAACAGG
rnacentral:rRNA from 1 species